UACGAAGGGGGCUAGCGUUGCUCGGAAUCACUGGGCGUAAAGCGCACGUAGGCGGAUUGUUAAGUCAGGGGUGAAAUCCUGGAGCUCAACUCCAGAACUGCCUUUGAUACUGGGGAUCUCGAGUCCGGAAGAGGUGAGUGGAACUGCGAGUGUAGAGGUGAAAUUCGUAGAUAUUCGCAAGAACACCAAUGGCGAAGGCAAGCUCGCUGGGACGGUACUG
rnacentral:rRNA from 1 species